UACUUAUUUAAUAAUUCUUAGUACUUAUUAGUUACUAAAAUUUUAAAUUUUAUAAUACAUUUGCUAUACAAUUGCUAAUUUUUUGGUAUAGACAAUAAUAUUAUUAUUAUUUAGUGUUAUCAAUAACUAUAAAUUAACUUUAAUGUAAUUUUGAUAUUCUAAACUAUUAUUUGUUUUAUUCAAUUCUCAACAUCAUUUUCAGAAUUUGAUGAACGUUAGAAUUGAAUAUUUAUGAUUUAUACAAAAACUCAUGUUCAUUUAUUUUUAACAUUAUAUUUUCAUUGAGAAACCAAUAAUGUCUCUAGAAACUGUUGAACAUGCUUUAGCUGAGUUCUAUUGCAAUCAGAAUGUGGAAGUUCAUAAAAUUUUAUUAGAUUUUCAAAACUCUGUAGAUGCCUGGAACCUUGUAUGGAGUAUGUUAGAUACAUCUAAACCUCAUGAGAUACAAUUUUUUGGUGCUACUACACUUCAUAUUAAAAUUACAAAACAAUGGCUACAAUUGAAAAGAACUGAUUAUGUGCUUCUUAGAGAUAAAAUAUUAGACACUCUAAUUAAAUACUACAAUUCAUCAGGACCAACGAAUGUAAUAAAUAAAUUAUGUUACUGUCUUUGUGCAUAUGUAGUCCGUACAAUACCACAUCAUUGGCCAGAUGCAAUUCCACAACUGAUGGAAACUUUUAGGAAUUCUCUAUCUCAAUCAUCUAUAAAUGUCAGUGUUAUGAUAUUAGAAAUAUUAAUGGCUCUACCAGACGAAUUUGGUGCAACCAAAUUAGUUCAUACACAGCGAAAUGAAGUAAGGAAAGAAUUACAACAAUCUUCUCUACAAGUUUUAUCUAUUGUGGAUAGUAUUCUUCAAAGCGACAGUUUAGACCCAAUUGUAGUGCAUGCUUUAAAAUGUGCUGCAGCUUGGUUGGAUAUAGGUUUUGAUCUCAUUAAAUGUCAUCAACUCACGGAUACAUUUAUAUCUGUCAUUUUAAACCCUGAAAGAAGUCAAGUAUGUGUUUUAUUGGCUAUUGAUGCUUUGAAAUCAUUGUGUACACACCCUCGUACAUCUGUAUGUGUGGCAACUGUAUUUGAAGUUUUAAGUAAAGUGAUAGUAUUAUCUGAUAAAUUAUUUCAUUUAGAAAUUACAGAAGAACCAAAUAUUGUAGUAGAUAAACUUUUUGAUCUAUUUUUGGGUAUUGGUGAUCAACAUUUUCGUCUAAUAGUACAAGGCCUUCUAAACGAUAAUACCAGAGAGUUAUGUACAAAAUUUUUUAAUUUAUAUUUAACUUGUACAAAUGCACCUGGUUAUUAUCCUGUAAAUGAAAAUUAUAGUGAGAAAACAUUUACAUUUUGGUUUUUAUUACAAGAUGAUUUAUUAUCAAAUGAUGCUGGUCCAGAUAAUACAUUACUAACUAUUGUUAAGCCAUUAUAUAUAUCCUUAACUCAAGUCUUAUUAAAAAAAGUUGCAUACCCCGAAAAUUUAGAAACAUGGACUCCAGAUGAAAGAGAAUUAUUUCGAUGUUAUAGACAAGACAUAUCUGAUACCUUUACUUACUGUUAUUUCAUCUUACAAUCUGAGAUGUUAGAUGUGUUGCUAACAAUCUACAAACAAGUAACAUGUGACCAUGAAACUGCAAUUGCACAAUGGCAAACGGUGGAGGCAUGUUUAUAUGCUUUCACUGCGAUAUCAGAACCUCUUCAAAGCCAUAAAUCCCAUCCUCAUAUAGAACAAUUAAUGUCAUCUUUAGUUUCAUUACCGUAUGAACAAAUAGAUCAAAAAGCUUCCAUAGCUGCUAUGGACACUAUUGGAGCAUAUUAUUAUUGGAUGAACACGCAUCCAUCCUAUUUAGAAUUAAUUGUACCUCUACUAAUGACGGGUCUUCAUAAUAGUAAUAUGUUCUCUUCAGCCUCUAUUGCUCUUAGAGAUAUAGCUAAAGAAUGCAGAAAAUCCAUUGCUCCUUACAAUGAUGUUAUAUUAAACACAGCAAUAGUUGUAUUAAAGAAAGUAAAAAAACUUAAAGAAGAAAUACGUUUAAUGAAUACUGUUGGAGUUAUUUUGUCAGUUACAUCAUAUCCAAAAAAUAAACCAUUUUUGGAUACAUUCAUUAAUCCUAAUUUGGAUGCUAUAGCAAAUAUAUUAGCUAUUGAGGAUAAUGCUGAAUUUACCAAACAUAGAUCACAGCUACAAGAUAGAAUCAAAGUUCUUAAUUCAUUAGUAUCAGCAAUCGAUAUAAACGUUGUAGUCUAUGAAAUAAUACAAAACAUUUUUAAUCUUCUUCAAAAGACGGGAAUGAAAUAUUUCAUUUCUUCUCCAGAAGAUACAUUAUAUGCUGAUGUUUGUGAAUUGUUAAAAACAAUUAUUUCCAAACUAAUGCAAGAAAGAGAAAACUGCGUGGUAGCUACAACUAUGGUUAUUGAAAUUCUUAUGAUUGGAUUUAGAAAAUCCCCACAACCAGCAGGCUUGAUACUUUUCAAAGAAGCAGUUAUAAUGUUUGGACAAUAUGAGGCAAGUAUUCCACUUCUUAAAUCUACGUAUGAAGAAAUUUGUAUGAGAGUAAAAUUUAUGUUUGAACAAGCAUCUCCUGCUGAUCAGUUUAAUCUUGGAGAUGUAAUUGAAGCUUAUUUAUCUCUUCAAGGGCAUAUAUUUAGAAAAUGGCCAUUUAUUGCUGUGGAUAAUCCAAAUGUAGAUUUUAUAUUUGUUUUCAAACUAGCCUCUGAAGCAUUAUGUGCUAAUGAAAUAUUUCUGGCAAAAACAGCAACAUUUUUUUUAACUGCAUUUAUAAAUUCAAGUAGAGAACAUAGAUCAUUAUUUAAAGUUAUAGAUGAUAAUGGUCAAUUUCUUGUUAUGAAAAUAAUAUGCAUUCUUAAGGGCGAUGUUGUAAAAAGAAAUUUGGAUACUAUGUGUGAAGUUUUGUAUGUAUUGAAUAGAAAUUAUGGUGAACAUUUAAGUAGAUGGUUUCAUGAUAUUGUAACAGUACAAAAUAUAGUAAUACCAAAUGUAACAGAACAAAUGAAAUCUAAAUUUUUCAAACGUGUACUUAAAGAAAGAAGCAAUAAAAAAACUUUACAAGUUGUAGUAAGAGAAUUUUCAUUUAUUUGUCGAGGUUUAAUUCUAAUAGAUCCGACAGAAUGAAUAUAUUAAAUGCAUUAAAAGCUGCUUUCAAGUCUGUACAUUCAGUAGCUAAGUAUGGCCGUCGUUCUUCCUUGCCACCAUGUUCCUUCACCUGAGCUGCUCUCCACCGAGCCAAAGUAGUCCUAUGAAUAACAAAAAUAUAAUAAAUUAUUAAGGACUUAGGUUCGGUGCAGUCUAAGAUCGUAUACCAGUACCCGUAUACCAAUAACAUUGGCCACACUGAACUGAGAAAAUUCCCCUAUGAGAACUUUACAAUGUAAGCAGUGUCACCACACACAAUAUACGCGGCUAAAUUGAACCGUAAGAAGAACAUGUGCAUAGUGCUUAUUAGUUAUUUGUGCAAUUGUGCAUAUUAUUUUCUUGUAUUGCAGCUGCUAUUGUUAUGUUCUGUAUUGAAUGUAGUAAAGUAAACUAAAAUAUCGACUAGUAA